rnacentral:rRNA from 1 species
UUCGUAGGGGGCAAGCGUUAUCCGGAUUUACUGGGUGUAAAGGGAGCGUAGACGGCAAUGCAAGUCUGGAGUGAAAGGCGGGGGCCCAACCCCCGGACUGCUCUGGAAACUGUAUAGCUGGAGUGCAGGAGAGGUAAGUGGAAUUCCUAGUGUAGCGGUGAAAUGCGUAGAUAUUAGGAGGAACACCAGUGGCGAAGGCGGCUUACUGGACUGUAACUGACGUUGAGGCUCGAAAGCGUGGGGAGCAAACAGG